AUUGAAAUCCCAGAAAGGUUUACUUGCCUACUAAAUAUUAUAUUGUUACACAUAUACAUAUGUUGCCAUAUAGGCAUUCACAGAUACGUAAAUGUAUGUUACCAAAAAGCCACAUGAAGAAAAAAAGACUAGGAGAAAAUGUAACAAGCUAUAAUGUUCAUUAUUGGGGGUACGAAUAUAGUGAUUUCUAAAAUCUUAUUCCUGCAUUUUCUGUAUUUUCUACAAGAACAUGCAUUGCUUUUCAGAUAAAAUAAUAAUUUAAGUGGAAGACUGUACAAAUUAGAAAAUUCUAUUCCCAUUUUUGAUGCCCUUGUUACCUGCCCCUACUGUAUAUUAUGAAACUAGCUUUGAGGGGUUACGUACGUCACUGUAAGUUUUAACCCACCCAAGUGUUCAUUGGGAAGAUACAGGCCUCUUUCUUUGAAAUUGAUGGCACCCUUGGAAUCAGUCGAUUUAUCCAAUCCCAUGAUUCCAAGUGGCCACUGCACAGUCUGCAGAAAACGAAACAAGAAAUUUAUCAACAGAUAGAUAGAUGCGGUUCCUGUGGCUUUUUGUACACAUUCCACUAGAUGGAACAAUACUGGCUUUGCAGCCGGCAAGGAAAAGUACAGGCAAUUUAUACAUGCCUCCAAGUCAUUUCCUCAACUUGCCCUGAAGAAUCAGUUCCUGCAGAGAAUUCUAGGUUCAUCCUAAAUGAAAUAGGUCAAACAGAGAAAGACAAAUGCCAUAUAAUCUCUCUGAUAUGUAGAAUCUCAAAAACAAAAACAAGCUCAUAGAUACCGAGAACAGAUUGGUGAUGGCAAAGAGGCAGAGGUUGAGAAAUGAAAUGUUUUCUUUCUUCUUCUUCUUCUUCUUCUUCUUCUUCUUCUUCUUCUUCUUCUUCUUCCUCUUCGUUUAAAUAAAUUGAAUAUAAAUAAAAAAAAAAGACAAGGUGAGGUACUUAUGUGGGGUUGGUGCUCUUAGGGAGAGGCUUUGUCUGCCGUAUGUCAGAGAGGACUUGGGAAGAGCACGAGGCAGGCUCCAAGCUAACCAUGAGCUGAGAUUGUUCCAAUGGCUCCUAUGCCAUUACUAAUAAGAAAUUUGUUUUUUCAGGAGACUGUCACCAGUAAAACAUAAGCUUCUGGCUUUUACUUUAAAGGAAAGAUGCCAGCUUCUCAGCUCAUCCUUUAAUUGCCUUCUACGUAAUAGGAGAGGUUGUUAGUAUAGAGAACAAGCCAGAACAGGGAUAGGGAAGCCAACUGCUCUCGAUUCCGACCAUGGAAAGUUCACUGGGAGGCGUGGUUUGAAUCCAACCAGAGGAUGCAGGAGACUGGAGAAGAUUUCCCUUUCGCUUCAGUCCCACAGCAAAGUACAUUGCCCUCUUUCCUUUGCGAAGCAACCACUGAGCACUUCUCAGAGAAAUGCCACAAAGAUGCCUCAGCCUCAAACAAGACCUCGAGAUACCAGAGUAAAGAGGGGAAUACCGAGAAGUCUGUCCUGGGAUGCAGGACACAUAGGCCUUGAGCCUGAGAGUUGCUGAGGCCUCGGCACAGAGUGCCAGAGUAUUCUGUAGCUGCACGUCUUUCACCAGACAGCCAGCUGGCAUUCAGGCGAAUACAAGUGUGGCGUGACAUAAGGACUCAGGAUUGGGACACCGAUGUCCGGGGCCCUGGAACUGAGCAGCGGCAUGGUGGUCCCCAUGUCCUCAGCCUCGGAACCACAGUGCACACAGACCAGCCUUCCAAAUGCCUGAAUCUCUACACUGCGUUCCUUUGCCGGAGGGAGUUCUCUGAAUAUCUCCCCGUGACAGACCGAAGCACCUGAGAAUGAAUAUCUCCCCCCACCUCUGUGGUGGUCUUCAACCUAAAACCAUCAGGAACUGGGGUCUCCAGCUCCCUUCUCCCUCAGGUGCAGGAACUCCAAGGUAAUGCCCAGAGGGGGACCGAGGCCAGCGUGUCCACACCCGAGCCAGGAAAGGGCGGAGCCACCAGCCAUAGAGCCUGAAGCAGAAAGCAGAGCCCCUGGGGACAGAAGGCUGCCACACCACUGCCCUGCUCCCAGGCUUCCAGCACAGGCUCCACAAAAGGAAAGCACUCAAACGGAAUUCCCUGAGAGCACCAGGAAUGUGGCUUCCAAUGAAGAUGGUCGUCUCUUGCCGUGGAAUACGACAUGAAGCUUCUUGACAUCUGAAGAUUUCCAAUGUCCACUUUGAGAGCCCACCCAUCAGAGCACUGUGGCAGCAGGAGUGUGGCCGAGAUUAGAGGUUGAAGACAGCUUUGUCGAAAUGAGCUACUGGCCUCAUGAGACCUGCUGAGGGGGUGAAGUGCGCAGGGAUGAAUAAACCCUGCCAUCAAAAAUGUCACCUUCAUCCAUGAGACAACAAGGCAAUCAUGAAUUGUAGUCACUGUCUGCCAUCCCCAACUUCCUAGGCACCGAGUGGCAUAGCCUUUUCCAGUCUCGGAGAAACUUUCCAAUCCUGCUGAAAUGACUUGGUACUCUAUUUCCAGACAGGAACAUAAUGUAUGUAUAUGGGAAAAUUAAGUCAAUAUUUAGCUUAAGCAUCUUUUGGCAAUACAUAGCUUUAAACAUAGAGUGCAUGUAAGUGUACCUUGACCAAAGGCUCACCAUGUGUCAUUUGCUGAUAUAAGCAUAUCAGAAUCAUUGAAAUUCAGAAAAAUUCAGUUUUCUGCUCACACAAUAGCCCUUAUGUACCGUAAACUAGCUCAGGGACUUUGUCCUUGAUGAUUUACUAUUGGAACACUUCCAGUUAUCCCCAUAGCUCACUCCAUAAUGGGCUCCCUCAGGCCUUCACUCUAAGUCACCUUCCCAGAGAGGUCUUCCCUGACCGUUCUUUUUAAAUUUAAGCCUCAAGGGACUGACCCUGUCCCUUUCCGUGUCCCUUUCUCAUUUUCUUUUUUUCCCCUUACCUGCUUUAUUUUAUACCUAUUUAUUUUAUUUCUCUUCUAUCGGCCCCUACUAAAGUAUAAGCACUAUGAUACCAGGAAUUUCUCUCUAUAUUUUUCCCCACUGCCAAAAAUCCUUGCUUGUAGAUGAAUUCCUAGUACAUAGUAGUCAUUCAGUAAAUAUGUGUUGAAUGGAUGGAUGGACGGGUGGAUGGACGGAUGAUCACUGGAUCUUUCAGCUGGCUGGAAUCUGACAAAGAGAGUACAGGUCCAAAAGUAAAUAAAGGACAAGCUGAUUUCUCAGCUUUUCUCUCUCUGCAUGUUGGCAGUUGUUAAACCAUCUGCUGUACGAGCAAGCUUUACCAUUUCACUCCUGAAACCCUGUGUUAAUUACAUCGCUACGUGGUAUUUCUUCACUUAUACAGGACAGCCAUGUGGUAAUGAUCUUUCGAGACAAUCCUAAAAGAAUAGUAUUUCACGAUUUGGUUAACAUAAGAGAUUAAGGUGGUUACUGAAGACGUGUCUGUAGGCAAUUCUCAAGUCUUUAUGUGUGGUUGAACAUAGUUAUCUGCCUCAUGGGACAAACUCUUUAUAAAAGUUAAGAGUCCAGUCGUCAGAGGCACUGUUCAUACACUUACCAACUAUUCAAAUCUACCUCUUCUAAACACAUUAGAUGCUAGUUUUUAUACUGUCCUUUUCUGUGUAUAAUCAGGGACACGGUGGUCAUUAACGUCCUCAGUCAAAGGGAUAUUCCUGAUUGGUUCUGUUGGAUCCUACUUUGACUCCAGGGUCCUGCAUGACACCCCUCCGUUCCAUAAAUUGUCUAUGCCCUCUCACCUCUGUUAGAGGUGAGGUAGAAAAUGGACGUAUGGAAGUUUAGCACCUAAAGAUGACGGGUAAUCCACAAGCAAUAAGUAAGAGAGGAAAGAGUAGGCCAUUAUCCAAAGGCUCUUUGAGGUCCGCCUUAGACAAUAACCAGUGCCCAAUCUGCCUCUGUUCAGCAACCUGGUCCUGGAGCUGGCAGGUCCUUCUUUUGGUACAUACCCCAUUCCUUCUCUUCCCCGCUAUCGGUCAGCCCUCCCCUCUCCCUUUUCCUGAUACAGUUUUAUUUAAAGAUGGAGGUAAAACUCGGCUCCAUGUACCCUAAAAGGUCCCCACUUAGAAUGGGCUUUUCUAUGAGCCUUUGUGUUUGCUUCACUGAGGCUGGAAGAGGGGAAAAUGGUCACAGGGAACAGAACAUCUGGCAAGCACGUAAAUUAGUAUUUCAGGAUUUAACCUUUUAGCUUGCUGAAUGAAAUCCUCCACACCUGAGGAUUACUCUGAGACCCACUUCUUGCUUGAGACCUGUUGACUCUACUCCAUUUGGCAUAAGUUAUCCCCUCCUCAGAAGUACCGUGUCUGCAUCACUCAUUUGUCUCUCCUGAACACACUUCAGUCUUGCUCUAGUUUUUUUUUUCUGUUGUGUUUUAAUAUCUUCUAAAUUCACCUUUUGUUUUGUCUUUCUACCUAGGUGAUCAACUCCUCUAGAGCAAGGAAGUUUCCCAAAAGUAUUUUGCAAGCCUGUGCCUCCCACAUAAUAAGCAUUCAGCAAAAAUCUGCAGAUGCAUUGGUCAAGUCCCAAUCUGCAAGGUACAACUGACUACGAGAGGCAGGAUGCUCGUCGACAUGAAGUGGUAUUCUGCAGCUUUCGGUGCUCUAAAGCUCUCCAUUACCAAGGGAAAGGAUUUCCACUCAAUUAGAUCACAAAAUAGAGGAUUCUGCGGUUUGAGUCCCAACAUGGGGAAGACUUGAAGAGAUUGUGUGUCAGAAAAACUAACUGAAGACAAGAGCUACAAUGUGUGUUAGCACGGAGGCAGUGUCCGCCCCAAGAACAGUCAGGUAUAUGUCUUCCUUUGUGCCUUCAGAGGGCUGUGUUGAGGGCUAGCACUCAUUUCCAGGAGAAAUGAAUCACGCACCCUCAGAUUGGAUGUGGCUAGCUGACUCUAGAGGGUGUCAGUCUUUGAGCUGCGCACCGUCUAACAUCAACACUUCGUUUACUCACAAUAUAAAUUAAAUCCCUGAGCUGGAACAAGCCAGGGGAGAGAUAGCAGGCUAGACUUGUCAUGGCAGGAAAGAGUAAAACACAGUGUAUCCUCACAAAACAUAUUAAAGAUGUAAAUUUGGGUAGGAAAAAUCCCGUUACGAUUAUUGCUUAUUAAAUGUUGUUACUUAAUCUGAAUUCUUCCAGGAAAUUUGAGUUUACCGAAUUCAGCUUGGUAGGACUCAGUGGAAUAAAGAAAAGCUGAAAGAAAGAGUGUUAAAUUCUCCACCUGGUUUGGUUGUUGAUUUCUCUUUAACCUAUAGGUGGUUCAUUGUAUUCUGCCCUUGACAGACAGUUAAUAAAAUUAUGGUCAAUUUGGG